UUAUUAGGUACUUUCUUCAUUCACAUCUCCAGUGCUAUUCCAAAAGUCCCCCAUACCCUCGCCCCCACUCCCCCUUUUUGGCCCUGGCAUUCCCCUGUACUGGGGCAUAUAAAGUUUGUGUGUCCAAUGGGCUUCUCUUUCCAGUGAUGGCCGACUAGGCCAUCUUUUGAUACAUAUGUAGCUAGAGUCAAGAGCUCCGGGGUACUGGUUAGUUCAUAAUGUUGUUUCACCUAUAGAGUUGCAGAUACCUUUAGCUCCUUGGGUACUUUCUCUAGCUCCUCCAUUGGGAGCCCUGUGAUCCAUCCAAUAGCUGACUGUGAGCAUCCACUUCUGUGUUUGCUAGGCCCCGGCAUAGUCUCACAGGAGACAGCUAUAUCUGGGUCCUUUCAGCAAAAUCUUGCUAGUGUAUGCAAUGGUGUCAGCAUUUGGAAGCUGAUUAUGGGGUGGAUCCCUGGAUAUGGCAGUCUCUAGAUGGUCCAUCCUUUUGUCACAGCUCCAAACUUUGUCUCUGUAACUCCUUCCAUGGGUGUUUUGUUCCCAAUUCUAAGAAGGGGCAAAGUGUCCACACUUUGGUCUUCGUUCUUCUUGAAUUUCAUGCGUUUAGCAAAUUGUAUCUUACAUCUUGGGUAUCCUAAGUUUCUGGGCUAAUAUCCACUUAUCAGUGAGUACAUAUUGUGUGAGUUCCUUUGUGAUUGGGUUACCUCACUCAGGAUGAUGCCCUCCAGGUCCAUCCAUUUGCCUAGGAAUUUCAUAAAUUCAUUUUUUUUAAUAGCUGAGUAGUACUCCAUUGUGUAAAUGUACCACAUUUUCUGUAUCCAUUCCUCUGUUGAGGGGCAUCUGGGUUCUUUCCAGUUUCUGGCUAUUAUAAAUAAGGCUGCUAUGAACAUAGUGGAGCAUGUGUCCUUCUUACUGGUUGGGACAUCUUCUGGAUAUAUGCCCAGGAGAGGUAUUGUGGGAUCCUCCGGUAGUAUUAUGUCCAAUUUUCUGAGGAACCGCCAGACUGAUUUCCAGAGUGGUUGUACAAGCUUGCAGUCCCACCAACAAUGGAGGAGUGUUCCUCUUUUUCCACAUCCUUGCCAGCAUCUGCUGUCACCUGAAUUUUUGAUCUUAGCCAUUCUGACUGGAGUGAAGUGGAAUCUCAGGGUUGUUUUGAUUUG
rnacentral:lncRNA from 1 species